UGCGUAGGCGGAUCAAUAAGUCAGUGGUGAAAUCUCUCGGCUCAACCGGGAAACUGCCAUUGAUACUGUUGAUCUUGAGUUCGGUUGAGGUAGGCGGAAUGUGUAAUGUAGCGGUGAAAUGCUUAGAUAUUACACAGAACACCAAUUGCGUAGGCAGCUUACUAGACCGACACUGACGCUGAGGCACGAAAGCGUGGGGAGCGAACAGGAUUAGAUACACUGGUAGUCC
rnacentral:rRNA from 1 species